rnacentral:rRNA from 1 species
GUAGGUGGCAAGCGGUUGUCCGGAAUUAUUGGGGCGUAAAGCGCGCGCAGGCGGUUCUUUAAGUCUGAUGUGAAAGCCCACGGGCUCAACCGUGGAGGGUCAUUGGAAACUGGAGAACUUGAGUACAGAAGAGGAAAGCGGAAUUCCACGUGUAGCGGUGAAAUGCGUAGAGAUGUGGAGGAACACCAGUGGCGAAGGCGGCUUUCUGGUCUGUAACUGACGCUGAGGCGCGAAAGCGUGGGGAGCAAACAGGAUUAGAUACCCUGGUAGUCCACGCCGUAAACGAUGAGUGCUAAGUGUUAGGGGGUUUCCGCCCCUUAGUGCUGCAGCUAACGCAUUAAGCACUCCGCCUGGGGAGUACGGCCGCAAGGCUG